AUUGAACGCUGGCGGCAGGCCUAACACAUGCAAGUCGAGCGGAUGAGGGGAGCUUGCUCUCUGAUUCAGCGGCGGACGGGUGAGUAAUGCCUAGGAAUCUGCCUGGUAGUGGGGGACAACGUUUCGAAAGGAGCGCUAAUACCGCAUACGUCCUACGGGAGAAAGCAGGGGACCUUCGGGCCUUGCGCUAUCAGAUGAGCCUAGGUCGGAUUAGCUAGUUGGUGGGGUAAAGGCCCACCAAGGCGACGAUCCGUAACUGGUCUGAGAGGAUGAUCAGUCACACUGGAACUGAGACACGGUCCAGACUCCUACGGGAGGCAGCAGUGGGGAAUAUUGGACAAUGGGCGAAAGCCUGAUCCAGCCAUGCCGCGUGAGUGAAGAAGGUCUUCGGAUUGUAAAGCACUUUAAGUUGGGAGGAAGGGCAGUAAGUUAAUACCUUGCUGUUUUGACGUUACCGACAGAAUAAGCACCGGCUAACUUCGUGCCAGCAGCCGCGGUAAUAC
rnacentral:rRNA from 1 species